AUUGAACGCUGGCGGCAGGCUUAACACAUGCAAGUCGAACGAGUGGCGGACGGGUGAGUAAUGCUUGGGAAUCUGGCUUAUGGAGGGGGAUAACGACGGGAAACUGUCGCUAAUACCGCAUACCAUCGGAUGUGCCCAGAUGGGAUUAGCUAGUAGGUGGGGUAAAGGCUCACCUAGGCGACGAUCCCUAGCUGGUCUGAGAGGAUGACCAGCCACACUGGAACUGAGACACGGGCCAGACUCCUACGGGAGGCAGCAGUGGGGAAUAUUGCACAAUGGGCGCAAGCCUGAUGCAGCCAUGCCGCGUGUAUGAAGAAGGCCUUCGGGUUGUAAAGUUCUUUCGGUGACGAGGCGUUAAUCACAGAAGAAGCACCGGCUAACUCCGUGCCAGCAGCCGCGGUAAUUC
rnacentral:rRNA from 1 species